rnacentral:rRNA from 1 species
UACGAAGGGGGCGAGCGUUGUUCGGAUUUACUGGGCGUAAAGGGCGCGUAGGCGGCGGGGCAAGUCGAGUGUGAAAGCCCCGGGCUCAACCUGGGAAUUGCGCUCGAGACUGGUCUGCUUGAGUUCGGGAGAGGAGAGUGGAAUUCCCAGUGUAGAGGUGAAAUUCGUAGAUAUUGGGAAGAACACCGGUGGCGAAGGCGGCGCUCUGGACCGAGACUGACGCUGAGGCGCGAAAGCGUGGGGAGCAAACAGG